CGGGAAUAGCUCAGUUGGUAGAGCAUAACCUUGCCAAGGUUGGGGUCGCGAGUUCGAGUCUCGUUUCCCG
rnacentral:tRNA from 1 species